CCAAGAAUAAAGCCUGGAAAAGACAGGUCAGAGUCUUGCCUGUUUACUCUCGAGCAACCACACCAGCAUCAGACACCCAUGAUAUAGAAAGAAACAUGGAAUGGGCCUGACUUAAUUCAUUAAUUAAUCUCAAUUCAUUAAUUAACCCCCUUUUAUAGAUUACCGGUAGUUAAAUGAAUGGUGUUCACAGCAAAUGCUGCUUUUAGUAUCCUCAGAUAUGAACCAGACACAUCCUUGUAUUAGUUUAGGUUUUGAUAACAACUAUUACCCAGAUACGUUUUUUUUUAUAUUUGAUGUUUGUUUAUAUUUGAUGUAGUUUCAUUUUGCUUUGAUGGCAGUAGGCUAUCCUGAAUCAAAAUUAUAGCAGAAGUUGAUUUAGCCCAUGAUUUAUCAAAUGAAUUUAUGCCGUGGCCUGACGCAGAUUGUAGCAUUGGACUAAAGGGAGGCCCUCAAGGGGCUUGUGGGUGUUGAUGGGAAACUGUGCUAGAGAUAGAUAAAGCAAAAGUCUUAAGUAAUGUUACAGAAGCCUCUUUGCUCUUUUCAUCAUCAGACACUAAAAGGAGAGCUGAGUAUGAGCAUGUUGUAUGGAGGGAAGAUACUGUGAAGCAUAUGACAGGAUAUUGGACUUGAGCCCGGUGGAAUGUGACCCAGAUUCAAAUAUGAAACUCUCCAGUGGCUGUUCUAAGGAUUACAUGGGAUGGCCACAUAUACAGUGAUACCUCAGGAUGCGAACGGGAUCCAUUCCGGAGCCCCGUUCACAUCCUGAGCAGAAUGCAACCCACGUUUGCGCGUGCACGGGUUGCGAUUCGCUGUUACUGUGCAUGUUGUCAUUUUGAGCGUCUGCGCAUGCGUGAGUGGCGAAACCUGGAAGUAGCCCAUUCCGUUACUUCCAGGUUGCCGUGGAACGCAACCUGAAGCAUAUUUAACCCGGGGUAUGACUGUAUACAGAACUCAGAAUUCUGCAACCCCCAACUUGGAUACAACUGGUGGUUUAUCAUUUUUCUUUAUUAUUAAAUUCCAAUCCCACCUUUUCACCAAAGAGUUGAAGGUGGCACAGAUACGCCCUCCAAGCCUCCUGAUUUUCCAGGGACAGUCCUAGAAUUAUGAAAGCCACCCCAGUUUCUGAUUUGAUCCUGGAAUGUCCCACUUUCUCCCCACCAGUGCCGAGUUCUGUGAGGAGGUUGAACCUGCACACGUCCCGAAUGAGUGAGGGAGCAUCGCGUUGCCUCUCCAUGGCUUCUCAUAGAGCGUGGGCAAGGAGGAGGAGAAAGUUCCACCAGCAAAGCCCAGCCUCAUGUGAUGUGUCAGCUCUGAGGGGAGACAGAAGGCCGGGACACCCUGUGUGGGACGAAAGGGGGAGUGGAGAAGAGC